rnacentral:rRNA from 1 species
AUUGAACGCUGGCGGCAGGCCUAACACAUGCAAGUCGAGCGGAUGACGGGAGCUUGCUCCUGGAUUCAGCGGCGGACGGGUGAGUAAUGCCUAGGAAUCUGCCUGGUAGUGGGGGACAACGUUUCGAAAGGAACGCUAAUACCGCAUACGUCCUACGGGAGAAAGCAGGGGACCUUCGGGCCUUGCGCUAUCAGAUGAGCCUAGGUCGGAUUAGCUAGUUGGUGAGGUAAUGGCUCACCAAGGCGACGAUCCGUAACUGGUCUGAGAGGAUGAUCAAUCACACUGGAACUGAGACACGGUCCAGACUCCUACGGGAGGCAGCAGUGGGGAGUAUUGGACAAUGGGCGAAAGCCUGAUCCAGCCAUGCCGCGUGUGAAGAAGGUCUUCGGAUUGUAAAGCACUUUAAGUUGGGAGGAAGGGUUGUAGAUUAAUACUCUGCAAUUUUGACGUUACCGACAGAAUAAGCACCGGCUAACUCUGUGCCAGCCGCCGCAGUAAGAC